rnacentral:rRNA from 1 species
UACAGAGGGUGCGAGCGUUAAUCGGAAUUACUGGGCGUAAAGCGCGCGUAGGCGGCUUUUCAAGUCGAUUGUGAAAUCCCCGGGCUUAACCUGGGAACUGCAGUCGAGACUGUCUAGCUAGAGUAUGGGAGAGGGAAGUGGAAUUUCAGGUGUAGCGGUGAAAUGCGUAGAUAUCUGAAGGAACAUCAGUGGCGAAAGCGACUUCCUGGACCAAUACUGACGCUCAUGUGCGAAAGCCAGGGGAGCGAACGGG